CUAAUUUACGGGCAAAAGCUUAAUUAUUUUAAAGCUAUUUAAAAAUGACAGUGUGAUUGUAAUAACAUUAAAAAUUGUACUCACAACUCAUCUUGCAGGCUGCGCAUGAAAACUGGUUGUGAGCCCUGGUCUAUGGUGAGGCUGAAAUUGGAAACACACAAAUUAGAACAUUAAGGAUAAUACAAAAGUUUGGUUCAAUAAAAAAUAAAUAGUAAGACGUUUUCAAGUAUUAUAAAAGAACAAUAGUCAAUCACUUGUUAUUAAAUUUUUUGAAAAACAUUUUUUAAUAAGUUUUGAACCUACCUUUGAUUGGUUCUGUUUUAGUCAUCUGGUACUUUUUUACUGUUGAGAGCAUCCUGUUUCCAUGUUGGUCUUGAAAAAGAACGGGAUUUAGGAUAUGUCAAACGUGCAUCGUUUUACUGCAUAUCAUUUGGGAAAUCAAUAAUGCCAACAAAGAAUUAAAUGGAAACCAAACAGCAUUUGUGGUGUAUGAAAGAAUGAUGGAGAGUUCGUCCCCAAUGUGUUUGUUAUAAUUUGAAGAAACAUUAUUUUACCUUCCUGGU